rnacentral:misc_RNA from 1 species
AAGUCGUAACAAGGUUUCCGUAGGUGAACCGCGGAAGGAUCAUUUACUGGGUUCUGGGGCCUCGUGCCCAGCUACCCGUCCUUUGUCAUGAGACCGACGGAAAGCAACGUCACAUCGCUUCGGCCCCGGGCGACACCCCGCUAUUGAGUUAGCGGGCGGAACCCGCGGCCGGCCUUACAAACCCACGCGCAACUUUGAAGUCUGACAAACGAUAACGAAAGCAAAA